CAUUUUACUCUACUUCCAGAGAUGCCAAUCUUGUAUUGUAAACCGGGUCCCAGACACAUUCAUUCUAUCCACAGACUCGUUCUAUCUUAGUUAUACCCAGGCCAUGUCCUCUGACCAUGCUCCCUGCUCUGCCUGUUUCUGAGAAUUUGGGUUGCGUUUCAAUGCUUUUCAGUAGCAACAGGAAAACCUUCACAUUAUUAAAGAGAAUCAUGGGGACCCACCCUAAACACCCAGAAGUUUCCUAAAAAUGCUACAUUUAUUCGCAAAGCAAAGAAUAGAAAUGCAUACUUACCAUUCUGUCACAAUCUGUACUUUCCGAAAAUAUGUGAUCUUCUAAAGUGAACUUACUAUUGGAGGGAUUUUCAGGAAACCCCAUUAAACUAUAUAUAUUUAGUUCUG